AGAAAGUACGAAAUUUUAAAAGCCAAGCAUGAUUCGAGAUGUGAUUCGAGGUGAUUCGAGAUUUCUUCUCACUGACAGAAAGGAACUCAUAGACAAAUUUGACUUCGUGAUAUUUUAUUACAAUAUCUUUCAUAUGAAGAGAUGAAGAUAAAUAUAGAAAUGUCGAAGUAAAAAUGGAAAGUCGUGUGGCAUUACGUAUAGUAGUAAUGUAGCAAUAACAAUAUACAAGUUUAAACGGAUCCAUUUCUUCUCGUCGUCUCAUCGAUAAGGCGCCCAGUAGAAGAUUUAACGAGCACGAGGUGCAAGGUGCUCGAAUCGGAACUUAACUUACUGGGAAACGUUUGGAAAUUUAUCUCAUCGAUUUUAAUAAGUUUCGAAUAUGCUGCAGAAUUGGUUAAAAAUAAGAGAGAUAUUCAAAGGUCACCAAAAUCGAUGAAAGGAUACUUUCAAACUUUCCUUGCUAGAUCUAAGAAGAGAGAGAAGGAGUCAUUUAAAACUUGCCGUUGAACGAAAUCGAAAGAGAAUAGAGGCGUUCGCUAAUUGAUCGAUCCAAUUUUCAUACGAGGCGUCCCAAUUUCUAUAGAUUUCACGCGUUCUAUAGAUGUUUUGUACGUCGAGUAGAGUCGAAGGGUCAAUCGAAGGGGAACCGCGUCGCGGGAGCAAUGAAUGAGAGAUCAACGUAGAAAAAAUUCGACCGAUUAAAUUAGUAACUUAGAAGGUAAGUGACAAAAAUGCCUUCCUGUGACAUGGCUGUAGAGAAACGUCAUGUCUCCCGUCAGAAUGGGAUAAGAUCGUAGAUAUAGGCGUAAUAAAUGCAGUAUUCAAGACUUGCAGUCUGUGAAAAAAAUCAGAUAUUAUGUCAUAGCCGAUUUUAUCGAAUGACAUAUCAAACUUUAUCGAUAAAAUUGGAGAAUCAUUUAGUAUAAAUUUUAUAGAUUUUGGAAAUAAUUUCUAUAUCUAUUUAAGAUUACUGUCUCUUGCUACUUGAAACUCUUCGCAGAAUGCGAGAUACAAGGUUCGCGAUCCUAUUUCCAGGCCACAGAAUGGCAUCGGUUGCUUCUAAGAUGCUCGACGAUGUCGUCGUUUGCUCGGACGGGGCAGCCGCGAUUGUCAGUUGCCUUUGCUCCAUGUGAUCGAGAGUCUUCUCGAUAGCUCGU